rnacentral:rRNA from 1 species
CCUACGGGUGGCAGCAGUGGGGAAUAUUGCACAAUGGGGGAAACCCUGAUGCAGCGACGCCGCGUGAGUGAAGAAGUAAUUCGUUAUGUAAAGCUCUAUCAGCAGGGAAGAAAAUGACGGUACCUGAGUAAGAAGCCCCGGCUAACUACGUGCCAGCAGCCGCGGUAAUACGUAGGGGGCAAGCGUUAUCCGGAUUUACUGGGGGGAAAGGGAGCGUAGACGGCAGUGCAAGUCUGAAGUGAAAGCCCAAGGCUCAACCAUGGGACUGCUUUGGAAACUGUAAAACUGGAGUGCAGGAGAGGUAAGCGGAAUUCCUAGUGUAGCGGUGAAAUGCGUAGAUAUUAGGAGGAACACCAGUGGCGAAGGCGGCUUACUGGACUGUAACUGACGUUGAGGCUCGAAGGCGUGGGGAGCAAACAGGAUUAGAUACCCCAGUAGUC